rnacentral:lncRNA from 1 species
GAAAAAUAGUGAAAAGGUACAGCCCCAGGAGGGUCCUCUGCAGCUGGGAGAGCAUCACCCCAGCUGCAAGGGAGCAGAGACAGUAACUCAAAGCUUCUCAGUGAGCUCUUAUGUGUUAUGGAACAGAUGACCAAGAGAAAAAGAAGUGGAUAUAAGCAGGAAAACAAAAGGGGCCCAGAAGUAUGCUCUACUUGCUUAUCUGUUCCAGGCACAAAACACCAGCAUGAUCUACACUUCAAUCAGCAGGGCUGCCUUACUUUGAAGAGUUCACAAUCAAAAGCAAUAGAAGAACAAAUACAAAGCUCACAUGGUUACCAUCUUCAAGUUUUCCCUUCAUCUGAUGGAAAUCUGUACAGGAGGCAGUGUAGUGCCUGCUGUGUUUUAGGACAAAGUAAAAUGUAACAUAAAAU